GAUGAACGCUGGCGGCGUGCCUAAUACAUGCAAGUCGAGCGAACGGACGAGAAUCUUGCUUUUCUGAUGUUAGCGGCGGACGGGUGAGUAACACGUGGAUAACCUACCUAUAAGACUGGGAUAACUUCGGGAAACCGGAGCUAAUACCGGAUAAUAUUUUGAACCGCAUGGUUCAAAAGUGAAAGACGGUCUUGCUGUCACUUAUAGAUGGAUCCGCGCUGCAUUAGCUAGUUGGUAAGGUAACGGCUUACCAAGGCAACGAUGCAUAGCCGACCUGAGAGGGUGAUCGGCCACACUGGAACUGAGACACGGUCCAGACUCCUACGGGAGGCAGCAGUAGGGAAUCUUCCGCAAAGGGCGAAAGCCUGACGGAGCAACGCCGCGUGAGUGAUGAAGGUCUUCGGAUCGUAAAACUCUGUUAUUAGGGAAGAACAUAUGUGUAAGUAACUGUGCACAGCUUGACGGUACCUAAUCAGAAAGCCACGGCUAACUACGUG
rnacentral:rRNA from 1 species